AGUGAACGCUGGCGGUAGGCCUAACACAUGCAAGUCGAACGGCAGCACAGUAAGAGCUUGCUCUUACGGGUGGCGAGUGGUGGCCGGGUGAGGAAUACAUCGGAAUCUACUUUUUCGUGGGGGAUCACGUAGGGAAACUUACGCUAAUACCGCAUACGACCUACGGGUGAAAGCAGGGGAUCUUCGGACCUUGCGCGUUUGAAUGAGCCGCUGUCGGAUUAGCUAGUUGGCGGGGUAAAGGCCCACCAAGGCGACGAUCCGUAGCUGGUCUGAGAGGAUGAUCAGACAAACUGGAACUGAGACACGGUCCAGACUCCUACGGGAGGCAGCAGUGGGGAAUAUUGGACAAUGGGCGCAAGCCUGAUCCAGCCAUACCGCGUGGGUGAAGAAGGCCUUCGGGUUGUAAAGCCCUUUUGUUGGGAAAGAAAAGCAGCAGGUUAAUACCCCGCUGUUCUGACGGUACCCAAAGAAUAAGCACCGGCUAACUUCGUG
rnacentral:rRNA from 1 species